rnacentral:rRNA from 1 species
CCUACGGGGGGCAGCAGUGAGGAAUAUUGGUCAAUGGACGAGAGUCUGAACCAGCCAAGUAGCGUGAAGGAUGACUGCCCUAUGGGUUGUAAACUUCUUUUAUAAAGGAAUAAAACGAGGCACGUGUGCCUGUUUGCAGGUACUUUAUGAAUAAGGAUCGGCUAACUCCGUGCCAGCAGCCGCGGUAAUACGGAGGAUCCGAGCGUUAUCCGGAUUUAUUGGGUUUAAAGGGAGCGUAGGCGGGUUGUUAAGUCAGUUGUGAAAUUGUGCGGCUCAACCGUAAAAUUGCAGUUGAUACUGGCAUCCUUGAGUACAGUAGAGGUAGGCGGAAUUCGUGGUGUAGCGGUGAAAUGCUUAGAUAUCACGAAGAACUCCGAUUGCGAAGGCAGCCUGCUGGACUGUAACUGACGCUGAUGCUCGAAAGUGUGGGUAUCAAACAGGAUUAGAUACCCGAGUAGUC